rnacentral:tRNA from 1 species
GGCUCCGUAGCUCAGUUGGUUAGAGCAGCUGGCUUUUAACCAGCGGGUCGAAGGUUCGAGUCCUUCCGGAGUCA